rnacentral:rRNA from 2 species
AAAUUGAAGAGUUUGAUCAUGGCUCAGAUUGAACGCUGGCGGCAGGCCUAACACAUGCAAGUCGAACGGUAACAGGAAACAGCUUGCUGUUUCGCUGACGAGUGGCGGACGGGUGAGUAAUGUCUGGGAAACUGCCUGAUGGAGGGGGAUAACUACUGGAAACGGUAGCUAAUACCGCAUAACGUCGCAAGACCAAAGAGGGGGACCUUCGGGCCUCUUGCCAUCGGAUGUGCCCAGAUGGGAUUAGCUAGUAGGUGGGGUAACGG